rnacentral:rRNA from 1 species
GGUGGCGGCGUGCUUACCUGCAGUUAACGAACUUCGGGUUAGUGCCGGACGGUGUGAGUACGCGUGAGAUCUGCCCUCACGGAGGGGGACAACAGCUGGAAACGGCUGCUAAUACCCCAUAUGCCGCGAGGUGAAAUGAAUUACGCCUGAGUGAUGAGCUCGCGUCUGAUCAGCUAGUUGGUGUAGUGUAAUGGCUCACCAAGGCAUCGAUCAGUAGCUGGUCUGAGAGGAUGAUCAGCCACACUGGGACUGAGACACGGCCCAGACUCCUACGGGAGGCAGCAGUGGGGAAUUUUCCGCAAUGGGCGAAAGCCUGACGGAGCAACGCCGCGUGAGGGAUGAAGGCCUCUGGGCUGUAAACCUCUUUUAUCAAGGAAGAAGAUCUGACGUGUACUUGAUGAAUAAGCCACGGCUAAUUCCGUGCCAGCAGCCGCGGUAAUACGGGAGUGGCAAGCGUUAUCCGGAAUUAUUGGGCGUCAAGCGUCCGCAGGCGGACCUUCAAGAUCUGCUGUAAAAAGUGGAGCUUAACUCCAUCAUGGCAGUGGAAACUGUUGGGCUUGAGUGUGGUAGGGGCAGAGGGAAUACCCGGUGUAGCGGUGCAAUGCGUAGAUAUCGGGAAGAACACCAGUGGCGAAGGCGCUCUGAUGGGCCAUCACUGACGCUCAUGGACGACAGCCAGGGGAGCCAACGGGAUAGAUACCCUGUAGUCUAGCCGUAACGAAGACACUAGAUGUCGGGCAUCGACCCUCGGGUCGACCAC